CAGCCGCCGCGGUAAUACAGAGGAUGCAAGCGUUAUCUGGAAUGAUUGGGCGUAAAGCGACUGUAGGUGGCUUUUCAAGUCUGCAGUCAAAUCCCAAGGCUCAACCCUGGACAAGCGGUGGAAACUACCAAGAUGGAGUACGGUAGGGGCAGAGGGAAUUUCCGGUGGAGCGGUGAAAUGCGUAGAUAUUAGGAAGAACACCAGUGGCGAAGGCGACUUUCUGGACGAAAACUGACGCUGAGGCGCGAAAGCCAGGGGAGCGAACGGGAUUAGAUACCCCCGUAGUCCCUGUCUCUUAUAC
rnacentral:rRNA from 1 species